UAGGCUUACUUGUAAUGGACAAAACUCUCUUGUAUCAUCUAGAAUCAUACUUGACCGACCUUGUGAGACCCUAGGUCAGUUGAGAGUGUCUAUAAAUAUUUGAAGAGCCCUCAUUUAUAACCAACUUGUAUGGAAAGCAAGCAAACUUGUAUGCAAGCUAAGAAAUACAUGUCAUACACAUUUCCAUGAGCUCUCUCAACUUCUCACUCACUCUCUUGAUAUUCCAUUCGUGAAUAAUAGUGCCUUUGGUGCACUGAUCAUCUUCGGUUGCCAUAUUCAUCAAGGUUAACUCAUAGUGUUUGGUGCACUAACCUCUCUUAAGGCUUACUUGACUACAUGGGCGACAUAGUCAAGCCAAGUGUUGCACGGUUGGUUAGUUGAAAACUCUAACCACGUGACAUAAAGCUACCUUCCCCAGUCCUUGCCCAAUUAAAGGAAUAAGUGAGCCCCUAUGGAGAAACAACAAUAAGAUCUUCUCAACGACAUUAGCAAAACAAGCAACCAUGGCAGAACAACAAGGAACCAACCAUGAAGUUGACGAAAAUUUAUUCAAAAGCCUAUGGAAAGCGACAAUUACAAAAAAAUAAAUGUAAGUUUUUCAUUUGAUUCAUUAUCCAUGAAGGCCUAAACACUUUGGAGAAUUUACAAAAAAAAAGUUGUCAAAUGUUUGUCUCAACCCAAACUAGUGUAUUCUCUGCAAAGCAAAUAUUGAAACUAGGGAUCACCUAUUUAUCCAUUGAAAUGUAGCAAAAUAACUUUGGAGAAGAUUUCAAGCUCAGACGGAUCAAAUUAUUGCAGAUAAUAAUGUCAAAUCUUUUUACCUCUCUCUAUGUCAAAUAAACCAAAGAAGCAGGAAAAGUGUCAUAAUCUUCAAUAUAGAGAUUGCUAUUCUUUGGUUCUUGUGGCUCAAGAGAAAUAACAGAAUCUUCAACAACAACCAUAAAAGCAUAUUAAACCUAUGAGAAGAUUUUUGUAAUUUAUUAGGUCUUUGGUGUAGUAGACACCCUCUAUUCAAAGAUUAUAGGCCUAACGUUAUAGCACUAAAUUUUAGAGCUUUGGUGAACUAAAUUCUUCUUGAGCUCAUCUCCAGCUCCGCUUGGUACCUUGAAAGUGCUUUUUAUUAAUAAAAAAUUAUUUGUGUUUCAAUGACAACUUCAAUGAAAUAAACAGUGUGAAGUAAAGUUUCAUUUGUUAUCUAGGCGUUUAACUUGCUUAGGAAACUUACUUAGGAAACCUUUCUAUAGUUAAUUAGACAAGCAAACUUUAUCUCAAACCUCUUUUGUAAGAUUUUUAGCAAUGAGGACAUUGUUACACUCUAAAUUUGAAGGUGUGCAAGCUAAGGUCCCAGCUAAACCUUUUGAAACUCUUUGAAAAACCUAUUAAGGCGUUUUAAUAAAAGUUAAAGCAAAGCAAAUAAGGACAAAAAAAUUCAAAAUUUUUUAUUAUUUAUUCAAUUAAAAUAAUAACUCCUAUGUUGUCUCCUCUCGCAAAAAUAAGAAGCAUAGCUUCAGAAGUAAAAAGUAGAUAGUUGAGUAAUAAGAGGCAAUAAAAGUUAUAGUUGAGAAGAAACAAAUUCAUAGAGUGCCUAUGAUUUUUCACUCAACACCAAAUGCCAAGUAAUUAAAUAAAUAAAAAGUAUUCUUUUGCCAAAUAAAAGGAUUCAAAAUUCUUUGAGAACUUUAGCCAUUUCUAAAACUUGAAAAUAAAAUUCUUGUGGAGAAUGAACAUGGGUAUUUUGAGUAUUAAGCUUGCCGCGUUUUGAACUUAGAAAUGUUUUCAAAGUGAGAAGUACGCGAUGUAUAUAACGAAUAAAACUAGCUCGCAUUUUGAGAAGUUUAGAAAUGCAAAGAGGAAGGUAAAUCUUUAAGAAGGAAUUGUGCUUGAGGGCAAACAUGAUAUAAAAUGAUGCUUAAGGAUAAGCAUUAUUUUAAAUUUGGGGGUGAGAUAACUUGUAGAAAUUCAAGUUAUUAUGGCCUUUUAGAUAAAAUAAUGGGACCAAAAUGCAUAUGAAAUUUGUCAAAACAAGUAACUUGUGUUGUAAAUUCAUAAAUAUUUAGAAAUACACUUUACAUAAGCAUUCAUGUCUGUUUCACCCUAUUGUGAGUAUCUUAACGUAGGUUAUGAAUAAAAGAAGAAGUUAGAGAAUCGCAGAGGAACUCGCCUGAAGAUUAAGCAAGAAAACCUUAUUAGCAGGUGAGAAGAGGUUUGCUAGAAGACAAAAGUAGUAGAUAGAGUUAAUGUGACUUGAUACAGGUAGCUUUCGUUGCUGACAUGCUCAGAAGAUUAAGACUAAAUGUGCCUAUAAAAGGACUCCAUCUCCAUCAAGAAAAGAGCUAGAUGUCUGAAUGGACCAACCACAAGGGAGGCCCGAAUAGGCCACAAGCGUUGCUUGAAUAGGCCAAAGCCCUAGAGAGUUGGUGGAAAAGCUACCUUUCCACCGUCUGUAAAUCAUUUCUUUCUCUUCUUCGGUCAGUCAAUGAGUGAAAGAUUGAGGUUUAAGUGAAGAAGAGCCCAUUUUCCAUCUCUCUUAACUUGUAAUGUUAUUUUAUAUUCUUUUCAUUUUUUGUAUUUAUCUACAUUGUAUUUGUUCAUAUUGUACAGGGGCUGAAGACCUUGUUCUUUAAUACAAUGUAUAUUUAUACCUUUUUCAAUUCAAC
rnacentral:lncRNA from 1 species